CGCGGGGUAGAGCAGUGGUAGCUCGUCGGGCUCAUAACCCGGAGGUCGCAGGUUCGAAUCCUGUCUCCGCAA
rnacentral:tRNA from 1 species